rnacentral:rRNA from 1 species
CCCUGGUAGUCCACGCCGUAAACGAUGUCGACUUGGAGGUUGUGCCCUUGAGGCGUGGCUUCCGGAGCUAACGCGUUAAGUCGACCGCCUGGGGAGUACGGCCGCAAGGUUAAAACUCAAAUGAAUUGACGGGGGCCCGCACAAGCGGUGGAGCAUGUGGUUUAAUUCGAUGCAACGCGAAGAACCUUACCUACUCUUGACAUCCAGAGAACUUUCCAGAGAUGGUUUGGUGCCUUCGGGAACUCUGAGACAGGUGCUGCAUGGCUGUCGUCAGCUCGUGUUGUGAAAUGUUGGGUUAAGUCCCGCAACGAGCGCAACCCUUAUCCUUUGUUGCCAGCGGUUCGGCCGGGAACUCAAAGGAGACUGCCAGUGAUAAACUGGAGGAAGGUGGGGAUGACGUCAAGUCAUCAUGGCCCUUACGAGUAGGGCUACACACGUGCUACAAUGGCGCAUACAAAGAGAAGCGACCUCGCGAGAGCAAGCGGACCUCAUAAAGUGCGUCGUAGUCCGGAUUGGAGUCUGCAACUCGACUCCAUGAAGUCGGAAUCGCUAGUAAUCGUAGA